AUUGAACGCUGGCGGCAGGCUUAACACAUGCAAGUCGAGCGGGGACUUCGGUCCUAGCGGCGAACGGGUGAGGAAUGCUUGGGAAUCUGCCCAGUAGCGGGGGAUAACGUUUCGAAAGGAACGCUAAUACCGCAUACGCCCUACGGGGGAAAGGGGGGGAUCUUCGGACCUCUCACUAUUGGAUGAGCCCAAGUCGGAUUAGCUAGUUGGUGGGGUAAAGGCCUACCAAGGCGACGAUCCGUAGCUGGUCUGAGGGGAUGAUCAGCCACACUGGAACUGAGACACGGUCCAGACUCCUACGGGAGGCAGCAGUGGGGAAUAUUGGACAAUGGGCGAAAGCCUGAUCCAGCCAUGCCGCGUGUGUGAAGAAGGCCUUCGGGUUGUAAAGCACUUUAAGCGAGGAGGAAUGGCUCUGGGUUAAUACCCUUGAGCAGUGACGUUACUCGCAGAAUAAGCACCGGCUAACUCUGUGCCAGCCGCCGCCGCGGUAA
rnacentral:rRNA from 1 species